rnacentral:tRNA from 1 species
GGGGUUGUGGCUCAGUGGUGGAGCACUUACCUAGCAUGUAUGAGACCCUGGGUUCAAUCCCCAGGACUACA